UCCCCGGUAGCUCAGAUGGUGAAGAAUCUGCCUGCCGUGCAGGAGACCCAGGUUCAAUUCCUGGGUCGGGAA
rnacentral:tRNA from 1 species